rnacentral:rRNA from 1 species
AUGAUGAUUUUAAUGGCCGCGGUAUUUUAACCGUGCUAAGGUAGCAUAAUCAUUUGUCUUUUAAUUGGGGGCUAGAAUGAAUGGUUGGACGAGGUAUUAACUUUCUUUAAUUUAAUUACGGAAUUUAAUUUUUGAGUGAAAAAGCUUAAAUUUUUUUGUUAGACGAGAAGACCCUAUAGAUCUUAAUACUUGACUUAUUUGUGAUGUUUGGGGAUUAUUAUAUUACUAUUAAGUACAGUAUUUGAUUGGGGUGAUUGUAGAAUUAAAAUAACUUCUAUUUUAUGUAUCAUUUAUGUAUGUUUUUAUGAUCCAUUAUAAUGAUUAAAAGAUUAAGUUACCUUAGGGAUAACAGCGUAAUUUCUGUGGAGAGUUCAUAUCGAUGCAGGAGUUUGCGACCUCGAUGUUGGAUAAAAUAAGUUUUGAAUGUAGCAGUUCAAUUACUGGGUCUGUUCGACCCUUAAAUUUUUACAUGAUCUGAGUUCAACCGGA